AAAGUGUCACCCCAGAUAAGCCUGUGCAUAAAGUGUCACCAUAGAUUAGCCUGUGCAUUAAGUGUCACCCCAGAUUAGCCUGUGCAUAAAGUGACACCCCAGAUAAGCCAGUGCAUAAAGUGUCACCCCAGAUUAGCCUGUGCAUUAAGUGUCACCCUAGAUUAGCCAGUGCAUAAAGUGUCACCCCAGAUUAGCCUGUGCAUUAAGUGUCACCCCAGAUUAGCCUGUGCAUUAAGUGUCACCCCAGAUUAGACUGUGCAUAAAGUGUCACCCCAGAUUAGCCUGUGCAGUCAGCUUUAAUGGUAUUUUCCAUUUCAAAAAGUUUUUUCUUAGCAUGAAUCCAGUCUAGGCGGAAAGUGUGGUCACUGAUAAGCCUGCAGGCACUGUGCAGGUGAAAAGUGUGGUCACUGAUAAGCCUGCAGGGACUGUGCAGGUGGAAAGUGUGGUCACUGAUAAGCCUGCAGGCACUGUGCAGGUGGAGAGUGUGGUCACUGAUAAGCCUGCAGGCACUGUGUAGGUGGAAAGUGUGGUCACUGAUAAGCCUGCAGGCACUGUGUAGGUGGAAAGUGUGGUCACUGAUAAGCCUGCAGGCACUGUGCAGGUGGAGAGUGUGGUCACUGAUAAGCCUGCAGGUACUGUGCAGGUGGAGAGUGUGGUCACUGAUAAGCCUGCAGGCACUGUGCAGGUGGAGAGUGUGGUCACUGAUAAGCCUGUAGGCACUGUGUAGGUGGAAAGUGUGGUCACUGAUAAGCCUGCAGGCACUGUGCAGGUGGAAAGUGUGGUCACUGAUAAGCCUGCAGGUACUGUGCAGGUGGAAAGUGUGGUCACUGAUAAGCCUGCAUGUACUGUGCAGGUGGAAAGUGUGGUCACUGAUAAGCCUGCAGGUACUGUGCAGGUGGAAAGUGUGGUCACUGAUAAGCCUGCAGGUACUGUGCAGGUGGAAAGUGUGGUCACUGAUAAGCCUUUAGGUACUGUGCAGGUGGAAAUUGUGGUCACUGAUAAGCCUGUAGGCAC